UGGGGGAAUCUUCCGCAAUGGGCGAAAGCCUGACGGAGCAACGCCGCGUGAGUGAUGACGGUUUUCGGAUUGUAAACUCCUGUCGUUAGGGACGAUAAUGACGGUACCUAACAAGAAAGCACCGGCUAACUACGUGCCAGCAGCCGCGGUAAAACGUAGGGUGCAAGCGUUGUCCGGAAUUACUGGGUGUAAAGGGAGCGCAGGCGGACCGGCAAGUUGGAAGCGAAAACCAUGGGCUCAACCCAUGAAUUGCUUUCAAAACUGCUGGCCUUGAGUAGUGCAGAGGUAGGCGGAAUUCCCGGUGUAGCGGUGGAAUGCGUAGAUAUCGGGAGGAACACCAGUGGCGAAGGCGGCCUACUGGGCACCAACUGACGCUGAGGCUCGAAAGUAUGGGUAGCAAACAGGAUUAGAUACCCUGGUAGU
rnacentral:rRNA from 1 species